GGUGGUAGAUCGUGGCACCAUGCUGUUCGUGCAGCAUGGCGAGAUGUGUCAAAGACGCACUUAACGAGUCUUCUUUCUUGAGGUCCAAACACGCGCGACACUCGCAAUCAACGUUCGUUUCGGCGAAAAAAGGGUUAAAAAAUGAGGUAACCUAUGCCUGUAUUGGAACGUUACUGCGGCCGAAUGAAUCUAGUGGUUCAAUUGUAUGAGAAAAAUGAUUUUUACCAAAAUCCGAUUUCCUGACACAAAUCGAUCGAUUAAAAUGGAAAAACGAAAGCACAAAUGAAACGUAGUUUCAUCCUACUAACCUAUGCGUAGUAUGUCGACCGGUUGUCACGAUUACUCAACGAGUUCAAAACAUUUCCACGACACUGACUUCUGCAGAUAUCACGAUGGCUGCCAUAUUGGAUUCUCAUUCCGCAAACCACCGACAAGAUACUUAUAAAAGGAAGACAAUCUUACCUGAUUUUACGAAAAAUUCAUACGAUACGAGUGACCUCUUCAGAGACAAUACGAUAGUUCGUACACAUGAAAUUGCAGAUGAUAAAAUCGACAUUAAACAUAUAAUUUUAACUACAAUUUUCAUUAAGCGUAAAUGUUAAAUAUUAUGUACUACUGUUAAAUAUGUAUCUGAAUUAUCAAGGUUCCGUGAUUCAAUUUUUAUUUUUUAUAAAUACAUUAAUUUCAAUUACAACUUAUGUAAUCACUGAAUUGGAAAGUCAACUGUAUCGAAAUAUAAAUUAUAUAUAAG